UACGUAGGGGGCAAGCGUUGUCCGGAUUUACUGGGCGUAAAGAGCGUGUAGGCGGCCGCGCAGGUCCGUUGUGAAAACUGGAGGCUCAACCUUCAGACGUCGACGGAAACCGUGUGGCUAGAGUCCGGAAGAGGAGAGUGGAAUUCCUGGUGUAGCGGUGAAAUGCGCAGAUAUCAGGAAGAACACCAAUGGCGAAGGCAGCUCUCUGGGACGGUACUGACGCUAAGACGGCGAAAAGCGUGGGGGAGCGAACAGG
rnacentral:rRNA from 1 species